AACGAACGCUGGCGGCGCGCCUAAUACAUGCAAGUCGAGCGAGAAGGUGUAGCAAUACACUUGUAAAGCGGCGAACGGGUGAGGAAUACAUGGGUAAUCUACCAUCGAGUGGGGAAUAACCAGCCGAAAGGUUGGCUAAUACCGCGUACGCCUCCGAAUCCUCGGGUUCGGAGGGAAAGCCACACUGUGAGUGCGGCGCUCUUUGAUGAGCUCAUGUCCUAUCAGCUUGUUGGUAGGGUAACGGCCUACCAAGGCUUUGACGGGUAGCUGGUCUGAGAGGACGAUCAGCCACACUGGCACUGCGACACGGGCCAGACUCCUACGGAAGGCAGCAGUAAGGAAUAUUGGACAAUGGGCGCAAGCCUGAUCCAGCCAUGCCGCGUGAAGGACGAAGGCGCUCAGCGUUGUAAACUUCUUUUGGAUGGGAACAAUAAUCGAGACUUGUCUUGACUUGAGGGUACCAUCAGAAUAAGCACCGG
rnacentral:rRNA from 1 species